rnacentral:rRNA from 1 species
UAGGGAAUAUUGGUAAUCUGGGAAACCGGGAACCAGCAACGCCGCGUGCGCGAUGAAGGCCUUCGGGUUGUAAAGCGCUUUUUGAGAGGAUGAGGAAGGACAGUACUCUUAGAAUAAGCCUCGGCUAACUACGUGCCAGCAGCCGCGGUAAAACGUAGGAGGCGAGCGUUAUCCGGAUUUACUGGGCGUAAAGCGUGUGUAGGCGGUUUGAUAAGUUGGAUGUGAAAGCUCCUGGCUUAACUGGGAGAGGUCGUUCAAAACUAUCAGACUUGAGAGUGGUAGAGGGAGGUUGAAUUCCGUAUGUAGUGGUGAAAUGCGUAGAUAUGCGUAGGAACACCAGUGGCGAAAGCGGCGUCCUGGCACAUUUCUGACGCUCAGACCCGAAAGCUAAGGUAGCAAACG